rnacentral:rRNA from 1 species
CCCUUAGAUGUUCUGGGCCGCACGCGUGCUACACUGAUGCAUUCAACGAGUCUAAAACCUGGUCUGAUAGGGCUGGGUAAUCUUUUGAAAGUGCAUCGUGAUUGGGAUAGAUGAUUGCAAUUCUUCAUCUUCAACGAGGAAUGCCUAGUAAACGCAAGUCAUCAGCUUGCAUUGAUUACGUCCCUGCCCUUUGUACACACCGCCCGUCGCUCCUACCGAUUGAAUGAUCCGAUGAAUACCAUGGAUUGAGAGUACGAAUAGGUUCGCUUAUUUCUGCUUCUCGAGACGUGGAGUAAAUCUUAUCAUUUAGAGGAAGGAGAAGUCGUAACA